AUCAUACACUCUUUCCCUGCACGACCUCCCAUGGGUGUUCACGGGAGAUGGUGCCACGCAUGUGCAGAACUUCCCGGGCAAGCAUCCACCACAUCAGACCCACUGAGUGAGCUCCCUUUUU